rnacentral:misc_RNA from 1 species
GAUGAAGAACGUAGCGAAAUGCGAUAAGUAAUGUGAAUUGCAGAAUUCAGUGAAUCAUCGAAUCUUUGAACGCACAUUGCGCCCGCCAGUAUUCUGGCGGGCAUGCCUGUUCGAGCGUCAUUUCAACCAUCAGGGCCCUUUUGGACCUGGCGUUGGGGCUCGGCCGCUACCCUGCGGCCGUCCCCGAAAGAUAGUGGCGGUCUCGCUGUAGCCUCCUCUGCGUAGUAGUUACAUCUCGCACUGGAAUGCGGCGCGGCCAUGCCGUUAAACACCCCACUUCUCAAGGUUGACCUCGGAUCAGGUAGGAAUACCCGCUGAACUUAAGCAUAUCAAUAAGCGGAGGA